rnacentral:misc_RNA from 1 species
AUUUCUUCUUCUUCUUGAUUUUUUGAAAGGAGGAACAAACAGAGUGAUGAAGAGAAAACGAAGACGAUUAAAGAAAUCGGGUGCCAUUUUCUUGCCUACGAAGCAAUUUCAGGUUGAUUAAGGCAUUCAGUUAAGAAAUGUGUUUCUUGGUGAUCAUUUGAAAGAAGAAAAAAAGAAAAAAUGGCUUCCAAUGCAACAGAAGCAUCGUGUCCCACACCCAUGAAAGCUACAUCCAACGGGAUCUUCCAGGGGGAUAAUCCUAUUGAUUUUGCACUGCCACUUGCCAUCAUACAGAUUGUUCUAGUGGUUGUGCUCACUCGUAUUCUUGCUUUUCUUCUAAGGCCACUGCGACAGCCGCGUGUCAUCGCUGAGAUU